UGGGGAAUCUUCCGCAAUGGACGAAAGUCUGACGGAGCAACGCCGCGUGAGUGAAGAAGGAUUUCGGUUCGUAAAACUCUGUUGUUAGGGAAGAAAAAAUGUAUAGUAACUAUAUACAAAAGAGACGGUACCUAACCAGAAAGCCACGGCUAACUACGUGCCAGCAGCCGCGGUAAUACGUAGGUGGCAGGCGUUGUCCGGAAUUAUUGGGCGUAAAGCGCGCGCAGGUGGUUUAGAAAGUCUGAUGUGAAAGCCCACGGCUCAACCGUGGAGGGUCAUUGGAAACUAAUAAACUUGAGUGCAGGAGAGAAAAGUGGAAUUCCUAGUGUAGCGGUGAAAUGCGUAGAGAUUAGGAGGAACACCGGUGGCGAAAGCGGCUUUUUGGCCUGCAACUGACACUGAGGCGCGAAAGCGUGGGGAGCAAACAGG
rnacentral:rRNA from 1 species